ncrna:unclassified sequences RAGATH-8 RNA
AGCAAUCAAGAAAGCAGGAAAGAACGGGUGAAGCGAUAGGGCGGCACGCAAGUGACAUGGCGGUCAGGCUGUAGGAUAACAGACAGAGCGUGUGCAGAAUAAACAUGUCCCGUUAAAGUAGUUGAAGAAAGCAGGAACAUCAGGGCAAGAAAGCACAGUGUAUCGCACUAUUUGAAGAAAGCGGACAGGUUGAGCCGAACAACACUUUUCCCCUAGAACAAGAAGAUGUUAAGCAGAAGAAUCAACCGAGCGAGAUGACACAGCACUUGAUUGAA